UAUUGACACGACUACCGCGUCAUUUUGUCAUGGAAAAUUUGUGUUACGAGCAGUUACGUGAAUAGCGAUCCUAGGAUCGUUGACGUUUUAUCGUACCUAUUCUCGUUAUCCUUUACAAGAGGAUCAUGGGGUCAGAACUCUUCGAGAGUAUCUUGGGUAUAAGUUACGGGGAGGGGUUACGAUAUUAUUGAAGCGUCAUAGAAAUUCCCCGGGCGCCAUCGUGAAGGAUUAUCACAGAAUACGGAAGGUGAGUGCGCGAGGGCGAAAUCCAGAUUGAAAAAUUUUCCGUUACUUAAACUAACUCCGUUGAAGAUUCUGAAAAAAGAACAUUUCUUUUGUUAUUCCACCGUCUCUUCUCUUGGCUGUGACGCUUUUUUCAACGGCGGGAAUCCGCGACCCUCUCGAUGGAUGAAAUAGCUGCAGGUGCAGCGAAAUUACCGCGUGUAUCGAUUCCCACCUUAUCCCCUCGGGCUCUCACUAUCGCUUCUGGUCUCAGAGAUGAGAAACCGAUCAUCAUUUCCCGAGGAUUAAAGUUUAAAGAGGGGACGGAGUUACACCGCGGAAUGAGAAUAGACCCUAUCCUCCUGCGGAAAAAUCUCUCUUGAAAAUACUGCAGAAUCCUAUUAUCGCUUUUUCAUCCCGAACUACACCCUUGUUCUUAGUUGUAGACGUAUUCACAAUUCAUCUGUUCUCGCGUUGUGCUUUUUCUUCUUUUUCGUUUUUUCUUUUUUCUACGCUCAAUUUCUGCAUACUAUUUCCCCCCCUUUCCUCGCAAGUCCUUGACUAUCGAAUAUGCGCGUCCGAUCUCCCGACACUCCCUGUGGUGUAAUACGCACCAACCGGUAAAGCUCCACUACAAUUUCGGAAUUUACUCUACCUGAACGGGUUGUUUGCCGAUCGAUGCGAAGAGCUACGUAAUUUGCAAGAUUAAAGGAUACACAAUGUACGCCACGUUUCGGUGGAGCUCUAGCUCUACACUCUUUCCGAAGACCGAACACCGGUGGAAUAUAGUAUAUUCUGCGCAGGACACGUGCGGCGGUUGAACACAGAAUAAGACGACGAAGCGAUAUAGGUAUAGGAGGGCGGAAUGCGGCGACGCCUACCCAAGAGCCUUAUAAGAUGAAGAUAUAAGAGUCAGGGGUUGAAAUGCUUCGGGAUACGGAUGAACAUGCUCGCGGUCUAUUCGAGCCUUCUCGGUAUGCGUUACGUAGGUGCGAGGUUUCCGCCACUGACUUCGGUACAUAUAAAAUUUAAUUUCUUAUACGUCGAUGAUUCUUCAUCUCUCGCGUUUUCCGGUGCAGCUAGCGGCAGCUACGCGAACGCGAAGGCUGGAGGCGUACGUAGUAAUUCUUCCACUCCCAAGAAAUGCUUGUUAACGAGUGAUUUAUAGAUACCAGCAUGACAGCCCGGUGGCCGUCAAGAAGCGAGCGAACGUGGCUUUGCUUAGCGGUUCAACCUGCCCCAGCUAGGUAUAAGGUAUCAACCUACCCAUAUAAUAUCCAUGUGCCUUUUACCUAUCCGCGUUAUUCUCAUUAGCGACGUACGUGUGUCUUUUUUAGAGUUUUUUGCACUUUUCGCUUGACCCCUCGUAGUCGCGGUUACCCUACCUUACUUCUCGUAUAGCGGCUAAUUGCCCGCACACGGUAGACUUAUCUCGUCUGAAGAUGGGGGUGGAGUCGCCGCCGCUGCCGGGGGCUUUGCGUCUUUUCUGAUGGCUGCCGUCGUUGCCGCUUGUGCAGCGGGGUGCCUUCCAACUUCUCCUAUCUCCGCGCAACCCCCAGCCGACGCGAUAUAGGUACAGGUAUACGCAGCUCCGCGGAAAAACCACCACCGAAGGUUUUAAGCGCUGCGGCUUAGCGCCUCUCAAAGACGACGCGCGCUGCUUUGUCUUUAUUCUUCUCGGUCUCAUCGUCGCCCGACGUUCCGCCGUGACGCGGAAAACGCUCUUUCAGAACUUCAUACCCCGCUGCUGCUGCUGCUGCUGCUGCACCGCAAGCUCCUUGAAUUAAAGUCGAAUUUUUUAUCUUCAUUUCACUCUCUCUCUCUCUUACUCUAUUCCUUUUUGCUCUUAUCAUUUUUUUCUCUCAAUACUCCGCACCGCGGGACCCGCGGGCUGUGCACUUCUGAAGGCACCGCAGCAUCAGUUUCACCACACACUUAAUCUCUGGAACUACGUGCGUAUAUGAGCGAGAAGAAAGUAACGCCGCGCGCGGAAACGCGACGCUACAUCCCAUUUGGAUUUGUUCAACCGAAUCGCCUUUAUAUAUAUACAGCUUAAUAUCAUCUACAUCUUUACCUUCGUACGUGUCAACUCUACGCUCUAUUUUCCAUGUGUUUCCAUCAAGCUUUUUAGCUCGUCGAGAAUUUAUUUUUGGGUGAUCGAAGCCACGAGUCUCCUCGGUGCCAAUUCGUGAUACCUAAGAACUCGGUACGCUGUAGCGGCGAACGUUACUGAGGCAGUUUAUGCUCCGUCUUGGAAGAGAUCGGUACAUAUAAGCAGACUUUCGAACCAGGUUCUCGGUACUACCGAAGCAGGAGAGGGCGAAUUCCGCGGUUUACAGUCGUCAGAUCGGUGGUAGGUUUUACUUUGCCGAGGAAGGUGAUGCUGUCCGUUUCAGCUUCGGGCGUAUCGUGUAGAUAUAUACGAUCAUAAAUAGAGGGAAAAGGAAUAGGGCAGACUCGGAGAAUUCGUAUUCCAUCUCGUCGCGAGUACCACAUGCUGAAAAUCGAUUCGCGGAAAAAUAAUAAAUAAUAAUCCGCGGCUACGAGGGCAACUUCAAAUCUGGCAAAGACUGAAGAUAGAUGAAAAAGAGUCAAGGUCGUCUUUCGUAAAAUGGCAAGAGUAACCGCGGUGCACCUGUGAAAAAUGCAAUGUCCUCGGUUUAAGAGAACAUCUUCUCGUUGCGCUGCUCCAGAUUUCCUAUUCUAGAUAACCGCGCGCGCGCCCGCAGAAGUGCGGCGGAGAUUUUUCGCCCAUAAUGCAAACUACCACCAGUUCAACUUCCACCAAAGACUAAUAAUAUGCGGCGCACGAUGCACGAGCAUACUAGAAUAGGCAGGGCGCGUCAAAAGAGCUUCGUGCCCCGCAUACCUAGAACUGAACUUGGCGGUUUUGAAUGGACCCACCUACUCGUUGCUGCGGCAGCGGAUGAUUCUGCAUAGGCCGACUCGUCGUGCAAUUACGUAAAAGGCUUCAGGAACGCCUCUCGGGCCUUCCGCCAUUUCACUCACACACUGUAGGCGCAUUACCUGCACAGCUUAUUCAGCUAGGACACUCAUACCUCGACGACAACGACGACGAAGUAUAACAACCCCCGUCACGGACGGCCUACCUGCUGGACCCCUGCACAUAUUGAGGUCACUCGGGGUCAGAAAUGGGGUUCGAGUCAAGACGUUACUCUCUUGCUUCCUGAAAGAUCAAAGUUCCAGACAGCAGCUAUUCGGAUUCCCUUCGGUCACGUCGUUUCACUCUUUCAUAGUAUGCUGUUGAAAUAAAAUAACCACGAGGAGUCGAGCUUGAUCAAUGGUCGGAGCUAAUGCACACGCCGACUAUAAGAUGAUAGAAAAAAAACAAAAUAAUAAUAUCAAUAAAAGAAAGUUGACCCUCGGCAGAUGCUCGUCGGAUACACCGGCGGGAAACCCAACCCUAAUGCGAUAGAGGACAUUGAUUGUAGUGCCCCGAUCAACCCGAUCCCUCACUCGUUUGCUUCAGGUACGACCCUUUUCUGCUCUCCGACCGCGACAUCCGGCGAAACUCGACACUCAUUUUCAUGGAUUACACGGGAUAACGAUGAGGCAUAAUGUGUACAGUUAUAUUCCGUGAGUUACGAGACCGAGUCCUCGGUGCAAUCCAGGUUAUAGACAAGUUGGCACGAGGUCAACGCGACGUUGCUACGGCCGUCGCGGAGGGCGAGAAAACAGUUCAAAUUGGAAGACGCCAUAUGCCAUUGGAUAUACCUAUAGAGUUUCUUGUGUCAAGUGUCUAGCUGCAGGGUAUUCUGCUGAUGAUGCUGCAGGGGUGCCAAGCGUUUUCAGAACUCUUCUUUCUAUACGAUGAAUAGAAUCCAAGAACAAAAACGAACGAUCAUUUCUUAAGCAACCACUUACACAAUGACGCCAGAAUACAGCGUAUAACUCUCUAUAUACCUAUGUAUAAUUAUUAUUAUACCAAGAUGGAAAUCUACUCUAUAAAAAGCAGUUUUGUUAUUAAUACACCGCUGCACACUUGAACCUAAAUUUUUUUCUUCUAUUUACGUGACAAUUUACUCGCAUACAUGAAAAUGCAAUAAAAUAUGAGGAAGAAAUAAUUAGAAUUUUAUUUUUGUAACGAAUUUUUUUUUAACAACAGAAAAUGGCUGGGAUAUUUACAGAUUAGAGGGACGGUGUAAUAUUAACUGUACGAGUAUAACAUAGUUUAGAAAUCAUCUCAAGCAAUCGUACUUAUGGGCGGGGACCACAAGUUGGUACC